rnacentral:rRNA from 1 species
CCAAGCUUGCUUGGUGGAUCAGUGGCGAACGGGUGAGUAACACGUGAGCAACCUGCCCUGGACUCUGGGAUAAGCGCUGGAAACGGUGUCUAAUACUGGAUAUGAGCUCUCAUCGCAUGGUGGGGGUUGGAAAGAUUUUUCGGUCUGGGAUGGGCUCGCGGCCUAUCAGCUUGUUGGUGAGGUAAUGGCUCACCAAGGCGUCGACGGGUAGCCGGCCUGAGAGGGUGACCGGCCACACUGGGACUGAGACACGGCCCAGACUCCUACGGGAGGCAGCAGUGGGGAAUAUUGCACAAUGGGCGGAAGCCUGAUGCAGCAACGCCGCGUGAGGGAUGACGGCCUUCGGGUUGUAAACCUCUUUUAGCAGGGAAGAAGCGAGAGUGACGGUACCUGCAGAAAAAGCGCCGGCUAACUACGUGCCAGCAGCCGCGGUAAUACGUAGGGCGCAAGCGUUAUCCGGAAUUAUUGGGCGUAAAGAGCUCGUAGGCGGUUUGUCGCGUCUGCUGUGAAAUCCCGAGGCUCAACCUCGGGCCUGCAGUGGGUACGGGCAGACUAGAGUGCGGUAGGGGAGAUUGGAAUUCCUGGUGUAGCGGUGGAAUGCGCAGAUAUCAGGAGGAACACCGAUGGCGAAGGCAGAUCUCUGGGCCGUAACUGACGCUGAGGAGCGAAAGGGUGGGGAGCAAACAGGCUUAGAUACCCUGGUAGUCCACCCCGUAAACGUUGGGAACUAGUUGUGG